AAUAUAUCUUUUUGCAAAAAGAUCUGAACAACUAGGUAUAGCAUUCAAUUAUUUUCCAAUUAAUAAGGAUACUUUACUUAUGAUAUUCUAAAGUCUUUCACUGAAGACAUUAAGGGAAACUUGUUAGUGUAGUUGUUAAAUUCCUUAUCCUGUCAGAAAUUACACAUGUAAGUAUGUGCUAACCUGUGCUGAAGGGGACUGGCCUGAUUCAUUACAAAUAAACACUGUGGAAAGUAUGAGCAGGAGGAGCCUCUACAUGGGAUUAAUGGAAGAGCCCUGUAAGAACUACAUCUAUCACCCCUGUGCUCCAGGAGUCUGGGCUCUUGAUCACAGUAGCGGUUUCCAUAAUUAAUUUCUGAUGGUCUUUCAGCUUUUAUCCAUCUGUGGAACUCCAUUUAUUCCUUUUCCAUCUACAGGUCAGAAAAACCCUCCAGCAAAGUUUUACAGCACUUUAACAAACCCAGCAUGACCCUCCAUGCUGGGUGGUGGAAUAUUUGUCGGGAUUUUCUUCCAGAUUUUAGGGGUUUCCUAAUGUUUCAGAACACUGCAGAGAGACCGUCAAGGGCUUUCACUGAAGGUUUUAAACUCAUUCUAGUGGAGGAUUUUUCUCUCAAUAUAUUUCUAUUUACAGUAUAUCUCAAUGUAAAUUAAAAAAAAUUUUUAAUUAAAGUACAACUGACUGGAAUAAAUAUAUAUUCCCCCUAACACAGGUUUCGACAUUUACGGCACCAACAAAGAAAACUAAGAGAUUAUGUCAGUGAGAUGGUGGAUCUGCCAAAGAUGCAGAUGAUCAUGUGUGACCUCAGUGCCAACUGGAAUAACUCUUAUCGGGAGCUGGAGCAGAGGAUCCUCUCCAUGGAGCAAAAGCUAGAUGAGCUAACUCGCUGUUUUCAACAAACUUCUGAGCUGCUGUCGGAUGUCCUUCACCAUCGCAACAGUCCAGAGAUAAGGUGACAUGGUGACAAAUACCAGAAUUAUUUCCUUCUGCAGAUUUAAGGAGUCCCAUCUGGAGGUACUGCCCUCCUCACACGCUAAACCACUCAGGGGACACCCAUCAACUAUCUCAUCCUCUGUGUUGAGCGGCUGCCCUGUCUGUUUUGUUCUACAGUUUUGUGUUUAGCGUUAAUGAUGCAGAAGUGCACAAAGAACCACAUCUCAUGUACUGGAUGGAUUUAUUUUGCAAGUGAAUGAGCGUCGUCCAACCUGCUAACUGUCUGAUGAAUUUGAUGAUUUUUUAUACUGCCCAAUUCCUCUGGAAUAUUUUUAGACAUGUAUAUAUGUUUGCAAUUUCUCUGAAUGAUCAUGAACCUCAUUUAAAAAAGAAUAAUCAACAAUAGAUCAACAAUUUAAGGUAAUUUUUUUUCCGCACACAUUAAAGAAUUAUUUAAUUUUUUUUUUAAAGAUAGUUUGCAAAAUAUGUAGUUUUAUGAACAAUAAAGCAAUUAAACUAAAAUAUAAUGUAAUAAAAAUGUUGUUUUUUUUAUAUUUAUUUAUAAACAGACUGAGACCAAAAUCUUACACUAAAGCACCUUGAAAUGCUCUUGUUUAAGUAGCUCAACUACACCAUCUAGUGGACGGGAAUGGAAACUGUGCUUCAAUGUCAAACAAAUGAAUCUUUUAAUACAUAUGUAUAUAUUUAUCAGCAAGAAUCAAACUCCCAAUCCCUGUGAACAACUGUAUAACUGGACUAAACUUUUCUGGAGAAUAAAGAGAAGAGUUGAAGCCUUUUGAUUCAAUGUAAUGGUGAAAAAGUAUUUGUGUUCAAACCUGUCUUUUUCUGAUCAACAGACACCCUUCAACUCAAAGCAAUCAAGA
rnacentral:lncRNA from 1 species